CCCUUAAAUCCUCUCCACUCUCAAAAGACUCUCAACCUAACCCUAGUUUUCAAAUGCGAACCUCCCAUGUCUGAUGACCUCUCAUCAGCUCUUUCGCCUCCAAUGGCUUCUCCCAUGCCAUUCUUGCCUUCUCUAAGGUCCUCAAGGGCCCAAGGCCAUGCCGACUUGCAUUUAGGGUUCAUCUAAUGCAUGUUCCUGGCUAUUUCAAUGUGAUUUCAAGCAAAAUCAUUCUAUAUUUAGUAUGAUCCUUAGGAUUCUAGACAAGUUUCUUCAUCUCUAUAUGGGUUUCUAUCGAAAUCCUAAUUUCUUUUCUACACCUCCUAGAUCUAUACAGAUCUAAGACAAUUUGAGUUUGUCUCUUGAAUAUUUUACACUAUCCUUGAGGUUCUUUACAAGAAUCAUGUGAUUUCAAGUGUUUUUAUCUUUUCUAAAACCAGGAUUUUCGGAACAUCUUUUUUAAAACCUUGUCUAACUGAUUCUUUGUGUUUAAACUUCUAUUUCUUACAUAUUUUGACUGAUUCAAUGAGUCUACUGCAUCUUAACUCGUCUAUGGUGAAAGCCAUAAUUUUUAGGGUUCUUCAUUUAGUUCUAUGUAUUAGCAUGACUGACUGAUUCUCGUUUUGAGUUUCCGUGAUUUCUCGUGACUAUCUUGCCUUGAUAUGUUUCUACGGAGUUUCUUAGCCUAAACUUACAUUGAUUCUAUGUGCUUGUGUUCAUCUUGACUGUUCAAGACUUGCCUCUUUCUCAAUGAAUCAGUAUUGUUUAACAUUCAUGUUUGCUAGAGUUGUAGGUCGACUCUUGACUAUCCGUGUCUUACUUUAUUUAUAUGUUAAACGCUUACUCUUUUCAUGACUUUCUCUUUGAUUGAUUUUGAAUUCCCUGUUUCUUGGUUUGAUUUGAAAACUUUCCUUUAAACCUUUGAUUCUUACCUUCCUACUCAAUGUGAUUGAUUUGCUUUCCUAAACUAACUUUCCCUUACCUUAUCUGCAUUGUUACUUGAUUCUUACUGACUAUCUCCUUAGUUAGAAUUUUCUGAACCUAGCCCUAAUUUUUUAUUUUAUGCCUACUAUGUUUGAAUAAUUUCCUUGUCUGUUAUGCUCCGGUUACACAUUGAUUUCUUUUCUUAUUUGCUACUUGUUCUUACCGUUUGAACUGAUUCCCUUAAUUAAGGGAGUACUUGUACUGAUUUUGCUCUAAUUGGUUCUUAGUUCUAUUAUUACUAUAGAAUUGUUGUUCUUACUUUAUUUUACCUAGUUUCGAACUACUACAUAUGUAUGCUCUCUCAUUAGCAGUCAACACGGACGAACACAUUAGUUCAAACUCUCUCACACUCAAAAUUGUUUUGCUCUCUCUCUCUUUGGUUACUUGAUAUUAUUCUGAGUUAGCCGGCUGCAAGCCAAGGCUAAUUAUUGUGCUCUCAUAUUCUUCACUUUGUGUUUACUAUCUCAUUACUGGUAUGUUCUGAUUUCAAUUCAAGUCCUAAAACCAAUAUGUUUCUUCUACUGCUUUAGUUUAUUAUGUUUCUACUUUGUUUCUAUCUAUAGUUCUGUUGUUCAACAUGUAAUUGACAUGUUUACAUUACUGCUUCAUCUAGCAUGCUAGUCUAACCCUCUUAGGUCAUUUUAGAACAUGUUCUACUCCCCUAAUAGCCUGUAUCAACCCUAUUUUGAAUGAUUGUCUACUUGUUAUCCAGUUUUGAUAUACUUUGCAAACUGAUAAGUCACUUUAAGUGUUCGAUUCUAUGAUUGGUUGUGAAAUUCAUAUUGUGAUGGUACCACUAGCUAUCCCCCAAUCCCAUAAAUCCCCACAAGAACUGUUAUGCUCAUGUAUACAAUGUGCUCUAUGUGUCCCGAAUUCCCAUCACCCCUGUGUGAAGGACUGUAAUUGAGUGUUGCUGAAUUUAUCUUGGCUAUAUGUUUGAUCUGUUGUCUGAUUACACAACUCUUAUUAAAACUGUUUUACUGAACAACUCUCCUGAUUACACCUCAUAGUAACCUUACUCUGAUUAAAAUUGUGCAUGCAUCAUGGUCAAACCUAGUCGGAUCAGUUAUGUUGUCCACAUAAUGAUCCUUUAAGAUGAGCCUUAUCCAAAGUCCAUCGGGGUUUCCAUAAUCCCAACGGAUGCAACCGUAUUCUAUGCAUUAAAUCAUGAAUUUAUAAAUAGUCGAGUCUGGUGGGAGAGAAAGGCCUAACCCUUUUGUUUUGCAGAAAAUGAGGCACGAGGUCCCCAACUUUGGUAUGGUUAGCACACCCCUCACUCUUGCUAGAGUGGUGGAGGAAUCUUCCAUCAAGUGACCAAAUCAAUGAAUAGAAAGAAAAGGCCGCCAAAUCUAGCAAAAAUCUGGAAUAUCUAGAAUACAACCUAUUGGAACUGGAAGGAAAAGUGAGGAGGAGAGCCACUGACUGCCAGAACAUCGAGGGAAAUGAAGGAGGACAUUUGGCAAAGGCAUUCUUACUGAUGAACCUGUGCGAACUGUAGGAUUUGAUCGACAAGAGCAUUCAGCCUGAGGAAGGUCCUUCCGAGACCAAACAAAUUAGGUUUACUCAUUUUCCUAAAAUGUAAUAAAGCCAAGUGCCAAUAGUGACUUAUUAUUCUAUUAUCUUAGUGUUGUUUUGGGAUUCGUCUAUUUUUAUAUUAUGAAAUGAAG
rnacentral:lncRNA from 1 species